rnacentral:misc_RNA from 1 species
GAUGAAGAGCGCAGCGAAAUGCGAUAAGUAAUGUGAAUUGCAGAAUUCAGUGAAUCAUCGAAUCUUUGAACGCACAUUGCGCCCCUCGGUAUUCCGAGGGGCAUGCCUGUUCGAGCGUCAUUAUAACCCUUCAAGCUCAGCUUGGUGUUGGGGCCUGCUGUAACUGGUAGCCCUUAAAAUCAGUGGCAGUGCUAUUAGGCUCUAAGCGUAGUAAUUCUUCUCGCUAUAGUGUGUAGUGAGCGCUUGCCAGAACCCCAAACUUUUAUAUGAUUGACCUCGGAUCAGGUAGGGAUACCCGCUGAACUUAAGCAUAUCAAUAAGCGGAGGA